rnacentral:rRNA from 1 species
AUGGCCAUAUCCCGCGCCUUGCCAUGGUGCUGGAAUGCAUUUGUGCUGUACCAAAGGGUCGAAAAAAUUGAUCGCUUUCGUUACCAUGCCCCAUACAAUGAUUACCCAGCCUUCUGGGCAUGGUACUGGGAUGAAGAACUGUUGUCCAAACAAAACCAUAACUGGUUAAUGCAGGUCAAAGGUGAAGAGAGCAUGCACAAAUUCUCUGGGUACCUCUCUUGGUCCCAGUUAGUGUACGGCAAUUUUUUUAGCAUGCAUACAAAACCUGAAACAACAUUAUGCCACUCAUUAUGCAGGGAUGAAUCUGGGGCCUGUGUCAUCCAUAUAGCCCGACACUUUGACGGGGGCAAGUUGAAGUUGCUGCUCGCGAAGCAUAAUGUCUCCAAAACCAAGAUGGAUACACUGCACGAGUGCAUGAAGCUCCAUGGGAAUUCUCCACAGUCUCCCAUGAUGCACUAUCUAGUCUUGGCACCAUCCGAUUCUGCAUACGACGCUUAG